AGCCACGCCUCUGAGUCGCGCUGCGCAGGCGCCAUUGGGCAGAGGGAUUGGCAAGCUUGCGUUCCCCAGCGACACAGGCCUCGAGGCUGUCUCUGACAAGUGUUCACAGGAGGUGGGGACGCCUCUGCGCGAGGAACGAGGAGCUACGGGCCUGGGCCCGGCUAUUGCCAUGGGCAGCGGCUGCCGCAUCGAAUGCAUAUUCUUCAGCGAGUUCCACCCCACGCUGGGACCCAAGAUCACCUAUCAGGUCCCUGAAGACUUCAUCUCCCGAGAGCUGUUUGACACAGUCCAAGUGUACAUCAUCACCAAGCCAGAGCUGCAGAACAAGCUUAUCACUGUGUGAGACCCUAGCUCGGGGUGAGCGGUGGGUGGCAGGGGUUGUCCCAGGAGGAGGAAGGGACAGGCUUGGGGGCCUGACUGUGUUCCAAUUAUCCAGCACAGCUAUGGAAAAGAAGCUGAUCGGCUGUCCUGUGUGCAUCGAACACAAGAAGUACAGCCGCAAUGCCCUCCUCUUCAACCUGGGCUUCGUGUGUGAUGCCCAGGCCAAGACCUGCGCCCUCGAGCCCAUCGUUAAAAAGCUGGCUGGCUAUCUGACCACACUAGAGGUCUGCAAUGAGAUGGGCUUGGGUUUACGGACAGGCAGAGUUGGGGAAGGUGUUCCCAUGUCUCCAAAGUCCCCCAAACCUGGGACCCUGCCAACCAGCUCAGGACUCAGGGCAGCCAACCAGCCAGGGGUCCUGGGAUGUGCCCACCAUGCUUUCCAUGCUCUAUCUAGCUAGAGAGCAGCUUCGUGUCCAUGGAGGAGAGCAAGCAGAAGUUGGUGCCCAUCAUGACC
rnacentral:sRNA from 1 species